CCAUAACCCUCUCGCGUUCAAGUGCACCGCGAAGCCCAGGGCUACGGCUGCCGGAACCCCCACCACAUAAAAUGCGCCUAAGUUCACAUAAGCACCGAUGUGUUGCCACCCACUCCCUCUUGCAAUUCCUGAUGCUAUCAGUGAUGGUGGAGACACAAAUAAGUGGAGUCAUCCCAGCAAUGUAGUUCACCACCUGCCUCUCGUUGCUGUAGGCACGCCCUAGAACGUGGCGCAGGCAGAGGAGAAGGAUGCUCACGGCCACAGUUUCAGCCACAGCAAGAAACAUCGCCACCCAAACCACCAGCCGCGCCUUGUCCGCAUUUCCAGCUCCUAACUCAUUCGAAACUCGCGUGCUGCAAGUGAAAAACCAUCAACACACAAACCACGUUGAUAUUUGAUUUGAUAUAUGAAGAGAAAGCCAACCUUGCUGCAGCUCCAAGUCCAUACGGAAUGGUGAGAUGCAAUGUCGAAAUAGUUAGGCUGAUCAUUCAAAAACCAUAAGAGAUGCUCAAUAUAUAUAAAAUAUUGAGAAAUGAUGAGUGUUGCAGAUUACCAUAUUGACAGCACUGAUGUCUCAAGCGUUGGAUUGGGUAAAAGGCCGGAUACCAAAACAAGCACUUCCAGCGACCACCAUUUCAGGCUACAGCAUACCAUAUAUAAAUAGAAAAAGUUAGAAUAGAAGCAAGGCAAGACAGAGCAAAACAGAAGAAGCCAGAUGAGAAAGCAGUACCAAACCAUGACAGCAGAAGGAGCUGCAAAGCGGAAGAACUCCCCUAUGUGCCGGAAGGCCUCAACGGAGAAGGCCAAGCGCGUGGCCUUGCAUGAUGGUGAGUAUCUGAUGUAAACUGCAAGAACAAAGACAUAUAACCAAUUGGAUAUACAGACGGCCGUAGCUGCACCACUACUCCCCAUAUCCAGCUUAUAGACGAGAGCCCAAGUGGUGGGAAUGUGGCAGCACAGCACCACAAACGAGCUUACCACCAUCGGCAAAACCAAGCUCUGAGUUUGCAAGUAUCUCACAAGAGGCUUUGAAACAGCAGCAGCAAACAGGGCGGGAAUGAGGCGGAGAGAGUAGUCUCGGGCUUGGAGGGAGACGAGGGGAUCCUGCCCCAUGGCCACCAGCAGCUUCUCCAUCAACACCCACGCAAGGCUCACCGGGAUGCACACUGCAGCUAGUGAAAACACGGCGCUGUAAGUGUAGACGCCCAGCUUCUGGUACUGCCCCGCGCCGUAGGCCUGCCCGCACAGAGUUUCCAAGCCGCCAACCAGCCCUGACUACACAACACAACCAAAACUCAUCACUAUUUAAUUGUGUUGUGUACAUAGCUAGCAAGAGAUGAAGGAGUUACGAGAAGGCUGAAACCGGUGACAUUGGUCAGAGAAGUGGCGAUGGCGACGCUUGAUAGCGUGAGGCGGCCGAGGUGGCCGACCAUCAUCGUGGAAACCACUUGCAGCAGAUACUGCAACAUCGAUACCAACACCAUCGGCCCAGCUAUGUACCCAACUUUCUUCACUUGUUGCAUCAAAUCCUCCCAUUUCUUGCCUUCUCCUCUCAUUUUUCUACACACGCGCUGGUUUCUCUACUUGUAUAGUUGGAAGACCCCCAAAUAUAUAAGGGGUAUUAGUUUGCGUAAGUUAUUUUAAGGAGUUUAUAAACUCAGUCAUAAUGUACGUGGGUGUGCUGAAUUAGGCAGUGGAUGCACGUGUAUACAAUCUUGAAUUGAUUGAAAUAAAAUUCGUAAUGCCAGCUAGCUUCA